rnacentral:rRNA from 1 species
ACGGAAGGCAGCAGUGAGGAAUAUUGGUCAAUGGACAGAAGUCUGAACCAGCCAUGUCGCGUGAAGGAGGAAGGUGCUAUGCAUUGUAAACUUCUUUUAUCUGGGGGUAAAGUGGCCCACGUGUGGGCUAUUGCAAGUACCAGAUGAAUAAGCAUCGGCUAACUCCGUGCCAGCAGCCGCGGUAAUACGGAGGAUGCGAGCGUUAUCCGGAUUUAUUGGGUUUAAAGGGUGCGUAGGCGGGAGAUCAAGUCAGCGGUGAAAUUCUGUGGCUCAACCAUAGGGCUGCCGUUGAAACUGGUUUCCUUGAGUGCGGCAGAGGUAGGCGGAAUGUGUGGUGUAGCGGUGAAAUGCUUAGAUAUCACACAGAACACCGAUUGCGAAGGCAGCUUACUGGAGCGCAACUGACGCUGAGGCACGAAAGUGUGGGGAUCAAACAGGAUUAGAUACCCUGGUA